rnacentral:rRNA from 1 species
UACGUAGGGUGCAAGCGUUAAUCGGAAUUACUGGGCGUAAAGCGUGCGCAGGCGGCUUUGCAAGACAGAUGUGAAAUCCCCGGGCUCAACCUGGGAACUGCAUUUGUGACUGCAUGGCUUGAGUGCGGCAGAGGGGGAUGGAAUUCCGCGUGUAGCAGUGAAAUGCGUAGAUAUGCGGAGGAACACCGAUGGCGAAGGCAAUCCCCCGGGCCUGCACUGACGCUCAUGCACGAAAGCGUGGGGAGCAAACAGG